GAAGCGACGAGGCGCGCGCCGAUGCCCUGGGAGGGUGUCACCGACGGCAAGCUAGACGCACUGAGAGCGAGCAGCGAGCCCGGUGUCAGGACGAAGGCUAGGCGCAUUGGCCCGACUUCCGGUAUUGCUCCAUCUUCAUGCUCGUGUCUUGAUGCAGCCAGGGAGGAGAGUGACAGCUGAAUGGCCCCUCCCACAGAAAUUCACACUCCUCUCUCUCUGGACAAAACCAUCAGUGUUGUAGCGGAAAUAACACAGGACGCAGUGUAGCAGCACGAACCUCUGCCUGUCCGACUGACAUCUCUCAGUGGAUGUCACCACACCACCUGAAAAUCAACCUUGACAAGACCAAAGCUACUUUUCCUUCCAGGGAAAGGCUCUCCCACCCUUGACCUUACUAUCAUCAUUGACAACUCUGAAGUAACCCCAACCCAGACUGCAAGGAACCUGGGUACGACACUCGACAGUCAACCAUUCAAUACUGCCAACAUUAGUAGAUUUUAUUUGGACAUGGACAUGACAAUGUCAUUGGACGAACCAGAUGCAUUGUUUACAGUGUAUUAGCAUAAAUGCUAGUUUACAACACCUGUCCACAGGAGGCUUUUUGAAAACAACAAAAGAAACUGAACAAGACAGAAACAAGAUCAAAUACUGAUAAAAAACUGAUAGUGAUAAUUAAAAAGAGUAAAAAUGCAGUAUACAGUAGAGUACAGAGCAGCAAUAUAAUGAGUUGAAUAUAUAUAUAUAGGCUACGUAGAGAACAAAGGCAGCAUGAUCAAACAAUAACCAGUUGUAAAUUAUUUGUGUGAGCACUGUUGAUUUGAUUUGAGCCGUUGUUUUAGUUCUCUGUUAAAAGUGUUGCUGUUAGUCUCUAGUUUUAGACUAGUGGGCAAGAGGUUCCAUAAUUACUCUAACAACCUGCUAGUUUAGAUACUUACUGCACAACAUCAGGAGAAUACGUCCCCUUCUCACUCAGAAGGCGGGUACAGGGUCUGCUCCUGGCGAAGUGAAGGAUCUGUGUGUUUUUGUGGAGUCCUGGUAGAUGUGAGGGCCAGUGAGUGUUUAACAGUCUGAUGGCAGUUGGACGAAAAGUGUUCCUCAGUCUCGACGUCCUGCAUUUAAUACUUCUGUACCUUCUACCAGAGGGCAGAUGUGUGAACAGUCCGUGUUGGGGGUGGGUGGAGUCCUCUCAGCGGUCUUGACCACUCUCUGCAGGCGCUUGCGGCCCAUUGCAGUGGUGUUCCUAUACCAUACGGUGAUGCAGCUAGCUGGUCAAGGUGCUCUAAAUGAUGCAGCUGUAAAACUUACUGAGGAUCUUUGGUGACAUGCCGAAUUUCCACAGCCUACUCAGGAAAUACAGCCGCUUGUUGUUGUGCUUACUUGACCAGCUGGGUGGUGUUUAGACUCCAGGUGAGGUCAUCACUGAUGUAGACGUCCAGGAAUUUGAAGCUGCUCACCCUUUCCAUCUCCAGCCUACGGCUGAACAGUGGCCGAUGAGUUCUCCUUUCGCAUGUCCACGAUCAUUUCCUUGGUCUUGUCCGUGUUGAGGGUGAUAUUGUUCUCUUCACACCAUGUCACCAGACUUGCCACCCAAUGUCGAUAUUCUGUUUCCACACCGUCAGUUGUAAGUAUGAUGACUCUGGUGUCAUCAGCCAAUUUCAGGAUGGUGUUGUCCUUGUGAGAGGUGACACAGUCGUGUGUGAACAGUGUGUAGAGCACAGUGCUGAGAACACAUCCUUGCAGGGUACCGUCUUCAUCACAAGGCUGUUUGAUGUUAUGUUUCCAAUUCUGACUGCGGCCUGUCGGUGAGGAAAUCUGACAGCCAGUCACAGAGUGUGGAGUAGAGUCCAAGGUUUUGCAGUUUGCUCGUGAGCUUGUGGGGGAGGACUGUAUUAAAAGCAGAGCUAUAAUCUAUGAAGAGCAUCUUGAUGUAGGCAUCUUUGUUAUCCAUGUGGGAGAGGGCUAACUAUAUAUAUAUAUAUAGAUAGAUACCACUGGAUUACUUGUAAAAAAUUGCACAAGUCAAUGAAGUUGAUUUUUUUUAACCCUAUAUUGUCACCCCUCAAAGAUGACUACAUAGAUAUAUAUAUAUAUAUAUAUAUUACUUUAUACAGUAAUCCAGUGGUAUCAAGAAGAAAAAAAUGCUGUUAUCUGUAAUAUAAUUGUAACUCGGAUUAUGAAAUAAAGGGUUAGGGUUAGGGUAAAAUAAAUAAAUAAAUAUAAAGAACGCUGACACACUGAGCAUUAAUCAGACUCUGUGCCCCUUGACCUUGGCAGUUAUUUGGUAGGGUAAUCCUGAUAUGAAAGGGAAGAAUGGUGCAGAAAAUUUACAGGUGGGUAGUGUAGGAGCUGCAGACACAUAGCAAGUGUAGUGAAUGACAUUUUGUAUGAAUCUCUCUCAGUUUUAAAAUCAGUCUGACUGCUGCAUCAGAAGAACAUACGAUAAGCCUAUGUCUACCCACUCUGACCUCAUAAAGUUGAUCAAUCAUUAUAUCAUUGGACACAUUGCAUUGGUGUUGAAUCUUUAUCCUGCCAAUCUGUCAUGUAUUCUGUGUUAUAUAAAUCAAGUCCACUGGAGAAAUCAUUACAUCAAACUGAAAACUUGAUAUUAACAAUGUAAACAAAGGUGUUGGAAAACUGCUGUGACUUAUAGUCCUGUGGAAUAUUUAUAUCUGUCACUCAAAGGAAGGAGUUUUCAAGAAUGUUUUUAAAAAAUUCUCCAAAUGUCUACUGUGGAAAUGUCACCAAAUUAAAAAUACUUUUAGCAUUA